GCUGCCGAGCCGCUUCAGCGCCGCCCGGCUGGGACGUAAGGCGGCGCCACUGGCCGAGGUCACCACCACCGUGGCCUCGCGGCUUAUCGAGCCGGAGUGUACCUUCAGCAAGCGGCCAGCAAGAGCUACUCGCGGCGUCACGUGACGGGCGGCCAGUCGACACUGGGUCAGACCACGCUGGGCUCUGAGAUCAGCACGGCCACCGACUCGGCCGGCCCGGACACGCACUGCAAGCAGCGGCGCCAUCGCAAGAAGGAGGAACUCGAGGACGAGCUGGAGCAGUGGGCCGCCUCCAUCAACAGCCGUCUGAGCGAGGUCGACGACUUCGAGCUGGUGGUGGAGCACGUGUGAGACGACCCGCAGAGAGAGCCAGAGAGAGGGACGGAACAGGGAUGCGCCUCGCGCGGUCGUGCGGGGGACCCCGCCUCCGGGCGAGGUCUGGAACACGGAGGUUCUGCGACUGGUGCCUCAGGCUCCCGAGCACUGAGAAGAUUCUGUGGCGCGUGUCAGAGGUUGAGAAACAGGGGAGACUCUUCUGCGAGCGCCCGAGAUGGAGAAACACUGAUGAAAGUCAGCGCCGGGUGCUCGAGAUUAAGGGUCACUGAUGGGAUUAAUUUUCUACUGUUCGACGUUUCGUAUU